GAUGAACGCUGGCGGUAUGCUUAACACAUGCAAGUCGAACGGACUCUUCGGAGUUAGUGGCGGACGGGUGAGUAACGCGUGAGAAUCUGGCUUUGGGUUCGGGACAACCACUGGAAACGGUUGCUAAUACCGGAUGUGCCGAGAGGCGAAAGAGAAAUUGCCUGAAGAUGAGCUCGCGUCUGAUUAGCUAGUUGGUGGGGUAAAGGAUCACCAAGGCAGCGAUCAGUAGCUGGUCUGAGAGGGUGACCAGCCACACUGGGACUGAGACACGGCCCAGACCCCUACGGGAGGCAGCAGUGGGGAAUUUUCCGCAAUGGGCGAGAGCCUGACGGAGCAAUACCGCGUGAGGGAAGAAGGCUCUUGGGUUGUAAACCUCUUUUCUUAGGGAAGAACAAAAUGACGGUACCUAAGGAAUCAGCAUCGGCUAACUCCGUG
rnacentral:rRNA from 1 species